rnacentral:rRNA from 1 species
GACAGAGGGUGCAAGCGUUGUUCGGAAUUAUUGGGCGUAAAGCGCACGUAGGCGGCUCGUUAAGUCGGGUGUGAAAGCCCGGGGCUCAACCCCGGAAGUGCACUUGAAACUGGCGGGCUCGAGUCCCGGAGAGGGUGGUGGAAUUCCUGGUGUAGAGGUGAAAUUCGUAGAUAUCAGGAGGAACACCCGAGGCGAAGGCGACCACCUGGACGGUGACUGACGCUGAGGUGCGAAAGCGUGGGGAGCAAACAGG